ACUUGCCUGUGGUAUCUAAUGUCCAGAGUGUUUGUAUUGCUGGAUGUUUCGUUUUGAGGGCAUAAAUAUGAAGCAGAUCUUGCGACACAGCUAGCUUCUUUUCUAAAAGCUAUCUGUUACAUUUUACCUGCUUACAUUG
rnacentral:snoRNA from 1 species